rnacentral:rRNA from 1 species
GCUGCCCGCGACGUCGCGAGAAGUCCACUGAACCUUAUCAUUUAGAGGAAGGAGAAGUCGUAACAAGGUUUCCGUAGGUGAACCUGCGGAAGGAUCAUUGUCGAUGCCUGUAAAUCAGACCGCGAACACGUGUUAAUAAGCUCCGUCCGCUUAGCGCUUGCGCUUAGCGGGCUAACGAACCCCGGCGCGGCAAGCGCCAAGGAAAACUUAAAGGAAGCGUCGUCCCCGAGCGCCCGUUCGCGGUGCGUCUUGGGUCUGCGGCGUCCCUCAAAUGUCUAAACGACUCUCGGCAACGGAUAUCUCGGCUCUCGCAUCGAUGAAGAACGUAGCGAAAUGCGAUACUUGGUGUGAAUUGCAGAAUCCCGUGAACCAUCGAGUCUUUGAACGCAAGUUGCGCCCGAAGCCUUUUGGCCGAGGGCACGCCUGCCUGGGCGUCACGCAUCGCGUCGCCCCCUCCAAAAUCCCUAGGGACUUGCGAGCGGGAGCGGAAAAUGGUCUCCCGUGUGCCUUCGUGCGCGCGGCUGGCCUAAAUGAGAUCCUGCAUCGACGGAUGUCACGACCGUGGUGGUUGAAAACUCAAUCUUGCUGUCGUGCGCGCCUCGUCGUUUGCUAGGCAUCGAUUCUAUCCAACGGCGCGCUUCGCGUGCCUCCGACCGCGACCC